GAAGAAGCAAAAUGAUGAGUAAUACUUACAUGAGCCAAAGUGAGUGAGCUCUGUGUGUUUGUGUGUGUGUGUGUUUGUGUGAUGGCUGAUUGUGAGACUUGUGUGCCUUAUAAUUGGGCAGUGAUAGCUAAACUGAUAAGAUCUGAUUGCUUC
rnacentral:snoRNA from 1 species